ANUUUCANNACUUUUCGUCUGGCUACACCUUUAAUUAAAAUUCCUGAGCUUAACCCCGGGUUUGCAUUCUAUACUGGCAGGCUAGAGUUCGGUAGGGGAGAUCGGAAUUCCUGGUGUAGCGGCGAAAUGCGCAGAUAUCAGGAGGAACACCGGUGGCGAAGGCGGAUCUCUGGGCCGAUACUGACGCUGAGGAGCGAAAGCCGUGUGGAGCGAACAGGAUUAUAUCCCUGGUAGUCCACGCCGUAAACGGUGUGCACUAGGUGUGGGCGACAUUUCCACGUCGUCCCUUGCCGCAUUUAACCGCAAUUAAGUGCCCCCCCUCUUGGUGAGCACUGGCCCUCAUUGCCUUAAACUUCAAUGGAAAUUAGACGGGGGCCCGCACAAGCGGGCUGAACAUGUGGCCUUAAUAUUACUCAACUGUUUAAAAACCCUAACCAAUGGGGAGGACAUAGGAUNUCAUAUUAUUAUUUAGAAUCAUUUGUGCUCCCUUUUUUUGGCCAGUUAUACCUAGCGCGUUGUAUUAGGUUUUUCCUCAUUCUCUACUUUCUUAAGGAAGAUUGUAGUAAUAUUCUCCAAAUGUUUGCUCACCCUUUGAUUCUUUUUUUGCCAUCAUUCCCCUUGUGGUCGCUUGCGGGACCCAUUGUAAGAACCUUUUCCUGUUCAACACCCGUAUGAAAUUUGUUGAUCUACCUCUUAUUCUUUAUUUCCCCCUAUUUUAAUGAGCUUACCUAAUUUAAAAUUCCCUUCUCAAUUAUAUUCUAUACCCCCAGGGUUGUUGAAUUUCAAUAAUUUCUGUUUACAAUUGGAUUUUGGUUUUUUACCCCCCACUGAGGAAAAGUAGCUAGUUAUCGCAAAACGACCUCUGCGGGUGUAAAAAUAAAAGUAGAAAUAGACCAACGAGAAAGAUAUAAGAGCUGACUGUAACUUUCCAUGGAAUAUAAAAGUGUUGGAGUUAGAAAGGGNNNAAUNGAGGGANNANAAANNAA
rnacentral:rRNA from 1 species